GCAAGUCGAGGGGCAGCAUUGGUACUUGUACCAGAUGGCGACCGGCGAACGGGUGCGUAACGCGUAUGCAACCUACCUUAUACAAAAGGAUAGCCCAUGGAAACGUGGAUUAAUACUUUAUAGUACUAUAAAGCUGCAUAGUUUAAUAGUUAAAAUUUCGAUGGUAUAAGAUGGGCAUGCGUAUGAUUAGGUAGUUGGUGAGGUAAUUGCUCACCAAGCCGACGAUCAUUAGGGGUUCUGAGAGGAUUAUCCCCCACACUGGUACUGAGACACGGACCAGACUCCUACGGGAGGCAGCAGUGAGGAAUAUUGGUCAAUGGACGCAAGUCUGAACCAGCCAUCCCGCGUGCAGGAUGACGGCCCUAUGGGUUGUAAACUGCUUUUGUUUGCCAAGAAUGGUUACUACGUGUAGUAAUUUGACGGUAGCAAAUGAAUAAGGACCGGCUAACUCCGUGCCAGCAGCCGCGGUAAUACAGAGGGUCCAAGCGUUAUCCGGAUUCAUUGGGUUUAAAGGGUGCGCAGGCGGGCCUUUAAGUCAGUGGUGAAAUCUUGCCGCUUAACGGUAAAAUUGCCAUUGAAACUGAAGGUCUUGAAUAUAGUUGAGGUAGGCGGAAUGUGUUGUGUAGCGGUGAAAUGCAUAGAUAUGACACAGAACGCCGAUUGCGAAGGCAGCUUACUAAGCCAUUAUUGACGCUGAGGCACGAAAGCGUGGGGAGCGAACAGGAUUAGAUACCCUCGUAGUCCACGCCGUAAACUAUGUUCACUCGCUGUCUGCGAUACACAGUAGGCGGCUUAGCGAAAGCAUUAAGUGAACCACCUGGGGAGUACGAUCGCAAGGUUGAAACUCAAAGGAAUUGACGGGGGCCCGCACAAGCGGAGGAACAUGUGGUUUAAUUCGAUGAUACGCGAGGAACCUUACCUGGGCUUAAAUGUAGAUUGCAUAUCUUAGAGAUAGGAUUUUCCUUCGGGACUAUCUACAAGGUGCUGCAUGGUGUCG
rnacentral:rRNA from 1 species